rnacentral:rRNA from 1 species
AUACGGAGGAUGCAAGCGUUAUCCGGAUUUAUUGGGUUUAAAGGGUGCGUAGGCGGUUUGCUAAGCGGGAGGUGAAAUGCCGGCGCUCAACGUCGGAAGUGCCUCCCGAACUGGUGGACUUGAAUGACUCUGCCGUGGGAGGAAUGUGUAGUGUAGCGGUGAAAUGCUUAGAGAUUACACAGAACACCGAUUGCGAAGGCAUCUCACGAAGGGUUGAUUGACGCUGAGGCACGAAAGCGUGGGGAUCAAACAGGAUUAGAUACCCUGGUAGUCCACGCAGUAAACGAUGAUGGCUAACCGCUGGGCUUAUCAGUUCAGUGGCCAAGCGAAAGCGAUAAGCCAUCCACCUGGGGAGUACGACCGCAAGAUUGAAACUCAAAGGAAUUGACGGGG